rnacentral:rRNA from 1 species
UGGGGAAUAUUGCACAAUGGGCGCAAGCCUGAUGCAGCCAUGCCGCGUGUAUGAAGAAGGCCUUCGGGUUGUAAAGUACUUUCAGCGGGGAGGAAGGGAGUAAAGUUAAUACCUUUGCUCAUUGACGUUACCCGCAGAAGAAGCACCGGCUAACUCCGUGCCAGCAGCCGCGGUAAUACGGAGGGUGCAAGCGUUAAUCGGAAUUACUGGGCGUAAAGCGCACGCAGGCGGUCUGUCAAGUCGGAUGUGAAAUCCCCGGGCUCAACCUGGGAACUGCAUUCGAAACUGGCAGGCUAGAGUCUUGUAGAGGGGGGUAGAAUUCCAGGUGUAGCGGUGAGAUGCGUAGAGAUCUGGAGGAAUACCGGUGGCGAAGGCGGCCCCCUGGACAAAGACUGACGCUCAGGUGCGAAAGCGUGGGGAGCAAACAGG